ACGGAAGGCAGCAGUGGGGAAUAUUGCACAAUGGGGGAAACCCUGAUGCAGCAACGCCGCGUGAAGGAAGACGGUCUUCGGAUUGUAAACUUUUGUUCUUAGUGAAGAUAAUGACGGUAGCUAAGGAGGAAGCCACGGCUAACUACGUGCCAGCAGCCGCGGUAAUACGUAGGUGGCAAGCGUUGUCCGGAAUUACUGGGUGUAAAGGGAGCGCAGGCGGGAAAUCAAGUUGGAUGUGAAAUGUCGGGGCUUAACCCCGGAACUGCAUCCAAAACUGAUUUUCUUGAGUGAAGUAGAGGUAGGCGGAAUUCCGAGUGUAGCGGUGAAAUGCGUAGAUAUUCGGAGGAACACCAGUGGCGAAGGCGGCCUACUGGGCUUUAACUGACGCUGAGGCUCGAAAGUGUGGGGAGCAAACAGGAUUAGAUACCCUGGUA
rnacentral:rRNA from 1 species